rnacentral:RNase_P_RNA from 1 species
CAUGAGGGGUGUGCGGUCGCUGCGAUUAAUGCGCAGAGGAAAGUCCGGGCUCCAAAGAGCUGGGUGGUCGAUAACGUCGACCGGUCGGAUUGCUUGCGAUUCGGUUAGGGAUCAGUGCCACAGAAAACAAACCGCCUUCGUUGGCACUUCGGUGCUAGCGUUGGUAAGGGUGAAACGGUGAGGUAAGAGCUCACCAGCAUCGCGAGUGAUCGCGGUGGCUAGGUAAACCCCACUCGGAGCAAGAUUCAACAGAGGCUCGGCACUGUAAUGUGUCGCACGUCUGCUCGGCGUGCAAUCCAAGUCUCGGGUAGAUCGCUAGAGGCGUACCAGCAAUGGGCGUCCCAGAUAAAUGAUCGCAGCAGCUUUCGGGCUGUACAGAACCCGGCUUAUAGCCCCUCAUGCUUU